CAGCCCUAAACGAUGCGCGUUAGGUGUAUCGGUGACCACGAGUCACCGAGGUGCCGAAGGGAAACCGUGAAACGUGCCGCCUGGGAAGUACGGUCGCAAGGCUGAAACUUAAAGGAUUGGCGGGGGAGCACCACAACGGGUGGAGCCUGCGGUUUAAUUGGACUCAACGCCGGGAAGCUCACCGGAUAAGACAGCGGAAUGAUUGCCGGGCUGAAGACCCUGCAUGACCAGCUGAGAGGAGGUGCAUGGCGUAGUCGUGU
rnacentral:rRNA from 1 species